AUACUCACCUGGCAGGGGAGGUAGCGUGAUCAGGACGGUGUUUCCCAGGGGAGGUUGACCUGUUGCACUCAGGGUGUGCUGAGACCUGCAAUUUCCCCAAAUGUGGGAAACUCUACUGUGUAGUUUGUGGUCGUGGGGACUGCAUUCACGCUCUCCCUU
ensembl:snRNA U1 U1 spliceosomal RNA